rfam:Angiostrongylus cantonensis strain Taiwan genome assembly, scaffold: ACAC_contig0004443
GGCGAGAUGGCCGAAUGGUGAAAGCGCUGGAUUUAAGUUCCAAUGGACGCAAGUUCUUGUGGGUUCGAACACGCUUGCGCUA